GACGAACGCUGGCGGCGUGCUUAACACAUGCAAGUCGAACGGAAAGGCCCUUCGGGGUACUCGAGUGGCGAACGGGUGAGUAACACGUGGGUGAUCUGCCCUGCACUUUGGGAUAAGCCUGGGAAACUGGGUCUAAUACCGAAUAGGACCGCGCGCUUCAUGGUGUGUGGUGGAAAGCUUUUGCGGUGUGGGAUGGGCCCGCGGCCUAUCAGCUUGUUGGUGGGGUAAUGGCCUACCAAGGCGACGACGGGUAGCCGGCCUGAGAGGGUGACCGGCCACACUGGGACUGAGAUACGGCCCAGACUCCUACGGGAGGCAGCAGUGGGGAAUAUUGCACAAUGGGCGCAAGCCUGAUGCAGCGACGCCGCGUGAGGGAUGACGGCCUUCAGGUUGUAAACCUCUUUCACCAGGGACGAAGCGCAAGUGACGGUACCUGGAGAAGAAGCACCGGCCAACUACGUG
rnacentral:rRNA from 1 species